rnacentral:tRNA from 1 species
GAAGGUAUAGCUCAGUGGUAGAGCACCUACUUAGCAUGUAUGAAGUCCUGGGUUCAAUCCCUAGUACCUCCA